AACUAUCAAACCAAACAAUGUGGUCAGGAGUAUUAGAUUAGAGAAAGACCGUAUUGCAUUUGUAAUCCUAAACUAAAUAGGUUCUUAACCUCUUCUGAUUAGCUUGGGUAACCAUGACAUACGGCUAUGUGUCACUCAUGGUUUGUGGAAGCCCUAAAAGUGUAUUAUCACUAAAGGGAGAAUUAAAAGUAAGUUUCAAUUCAUAAUCGAUUUGAAAGAGUUUUGAUCGC
rnacentral:lncRNA from 1 species